GGUGCAAUUCGGUAGGUGAGACUACCAUAGGGAUACGGAUGACUACCGCAAAGAAGUGGAGACACUUCGCGUUGGUUAGCAGUUGCUGUCGAGAAGGCGGCGACUAACGUCAUUUCAUCGCCCUAUGAUGUUAAAGCUUGGACGAUGAAUGAGAAA
rnacentral:sRNA from 18 species